rnacentral:lncRNA from 1 species
GGGGAAGGAGGGGAAAACUUGGAACAGAAGGUUUUGCAAGGGUCAAUGCUGAAAAAUUACCCAUGAAUAUGUUUUGUAUAUAAAAAGCUAUUAUAAUAAUAAAGAAGAAAAAAAAAAAAGGUUCUGUGUUUAUGAGUAUGAAUUUACAUUGAAUGUAAGUUCCUUAGGAGCAGAAACUGAGUUGUUCUCUUUGUAUCCUCACAAAUUAGGCCCUUAAAAAAAAAUCUGACCUAGAAUUACAUCCAAUUAAGGGUUAAAAAGUCCACAGAUUUGCUUUUUUUUUUUUUUUUUCUCCCAAGCUGCAGUAUUCUAGUUCUCCAGAAGACGACGCUCACGAACUUCAAAAGCAGAGGAGUGGAUGCUAAAGAAAAGACGACAAAAAUGGCUGCAAUCUGAAAUGAUCCCACAGGAGGGAGACACUGAGACCCCCUUCACUUUGCACGCAGCCCGAAAAGGGGUGGAACAGAAAGAGGAGGGGGAGGAUUAGAGCAAUUGCGUCAGAGAAGGGAGGGGGAGCGAAGUUUUUUCUUUUUUUUCUCCUGUUGCUAGGAGACCAUGUUGCUAAGAGACAGAGCUCGAGCUUCUCCCGCCCCUCUCCUGAGUCGUUUUUUUCAAUCGUCAUCGUUUUCCUCUGGUCGCUUUGCCGCCUUAUUUAAAUCGGAGUUUUUAAAAAAGAGAAUGAGUUUAUUUAAGUUUGUGGACUAUUCUUACCGUGAUUUUUAUUUGAAUUGGUGCUUCAUUUUACAAAUUUUCAAAACACCUGUAUGUUAAACUCUGCAAAUAAAGUUUUUUUUUUAAAAAUAUAUACUUAAUUAUUAUAUCAAAACAAAUCUAUUAAAAUAAGGCAACAUCUUUUCCAGUAAAUCCUUCACACUGCUACAUAAUAAUAUGUAAAAUAAAGCAACAUGGUUUCCAGACAAUCCUUCACACUGCUACAUAGUAACAAAUAUAUAAAACAAGGCAACAUAAUUUCCAGCCAAUCCUUCACACUGCUACAUAAUAACAAAUAUAUAAAAUAAGGCAACAUAAUUUCCAGCCAAUCCUUCACACUGCUACAUAGUAACAAAUAUAUAAAACAAGGCAACAUAAUUUCCAGCCAAUCCUUCACACUGCUACAUAACAACAAAUACAUAAAAUAAGGCAACAUAGUUUCCAGCCAAUCCUUCACACUGCUACAUAGUAACAAAUAUAUAAAACAAGGCAACAUAAUUUCCAGCCAAUCCUUCACACUGCUACAUUAUAACAAAUAUAUAAAAUAAGGGCACAUAGUUUCCAGCCAAUCCUUCACACUGC